UCCAUCAAGUCAGGAAUAUUACACGCUAAAUUGCUUAGAUAAUUUUUCUGUUGUGUUCAUUUGACGCUUAGAAGUCGAAGAAUAAGUUGCGUCUGCAAAUUCAGAAAAAUGGAAGAUUCCUUUAACAGACUAACGAUGGAAGACCCGACCUUAGAUGGAGGUGCAACUGAAAAAACGGAAAAUACUUCAACGGAAUUACGAGUUCAGAAUUUGAAUGUCCAGACCAUGGUGAUACUAAAGCAAGAAUACAGUGGUGCAGUUAACGCAAAUAUUGUCACAAUGGGAGCUUCCAACGUCACAAUAAAUCAAGAAAAAGACCAAAAUGUGCAGUUAGGGAGAACGGAAUCUGGUGACGAUACAGUCUGGCUGACAGAAUCAAUUUCGAUAUUGCAAAAUAAAAAGAUAUCGAAGUAUAGUCUCGUUUACAAAGGUCAACAAAUCCACGGAGAAUUUGGUGUCACUCCAGUUGCAGUAAAACUAAUACCGCAUAACACAGAAAAUGAGAAAGAGGCGAAAAUCCUCGUGAAAUUGAGUCGCCACCCAAAUGUCGUUAGCAUGAUACAAUCAGGUAUUUACACAUCUGGCCCCGUGAAAUACAUAUUCAUCGUUAUGGAGAUGUGCAGAAACGAAACGCUUCGUGAAUUUGCAAAUAGCUGUGAAGACUUGACGGAGGAAAUCAGAAUGAUUUUCACAAAACAGCUCGUUGAUGGCCUCGCUCACAUUCACGAGAAGAAAAUAAUUCAUCGUGAUUUGAAACCGAGUAAUAUAUUAGUCACACUCGACGGAAAACAUCUUAAAAUUUCUGAUUUCGGCGUGAGCAAAGAAAUGAGAAGCGGACGAGCCUCCACGUCCUUGACCCAUGCACGAGUCGGCACUGACGGAUGGAGAGCUCCAGAAACAUACAACAAGGAUAUCAUUUCUCAAAAAGCUGAUAUUUUCUCUCUCGGUCUUGUCUACUUUUUCAUGUGGAGUGGGGGUCGCCAUCCUUUUGGUAGCGAUCCGGAUGACUGGAACAAGAAUAUCAAGAAAUAUAUCAACAGGGAUUUGGAUCUUCUUGCAAAAAUGGGAACCUCAUACGUCAUAGAUUUGAUAGCGUGGAUGUUAGCAUUCGAUGACGCAGAAAGGCCGACAUGUGAAAAAAUUAAACAACAUAGAAUGCUUGGCGGAAAUUUGAGAUGCCCUCCGAUGCUCAGAAUAGUAGCUUCACCCGUAGUACUUGGGAGAAGUUCCUAUGACAUUUCAAGACGUCCAUCGGGCGUAUCUUCCUAAUGGUUUGGUUCUCGAACCACUGAUAUUUUAAACGUUUCGUGUUUUAUUUGAAUCUUCUCAGCUUCCUAGCCGAUGUCAGAAAGGUGAUGAAAAUCAGAAUUUUUUUUUGCCUUUCUGUCUGUCUUGACUAAUAGAUUCGAAUCUAACUCAGACAAAAGGGCGCUCCAGAAGUGUGUGUACCAAUAUGGAGAUAACUAAUUUUGUUCGCCUACUUCACAUUAAGUUGUGUCAAGGGACUGAAAGCUAUGGGCAGGGGGUAUAUUCACUUGGCUAACACAGCCAGUUCCCGAACUCGUAAUAGAACUAAAAUGAGGAAAAUAGAAAUAAAAUUCUGACUCAACCUUAAACAGGUACACAUACUACGGGAUCGCAUCGGGUUAUCUCAAGUUUGGUAUUACUGUGUAUCUGAAACUGUAAUGGCUAGCCGGAUUGAAUAUGUUACACACAAUACUCAUCAAAAAACGUUUAGAUUAAAGACCGGGUUGCAGCGAAACAACCGUUAAUCAAAGGGUCAUCAGAGUCAGCUACUAUCCUGAUGUUCUAUGACUCGAAGUAAAAUAACUGGUACUGGCACCUGACUAGCCGGUACUCCCGAAGUAUGUGAACCAAUAUGGAGGCAAUUACAAAUAAGUUCAUGACAAUUCAACGUGGCCGCUGGUUGAAAUUCUUCUAGUAUGAUAUGAUAUUAUAUCUUUAUUUUUUAUAUUUGUAUUGUAUUUUUGAACAUCCGUAUCAGGAAAUUAUAUAUCUCUUUCUCUGGAAUCUUGGUCAUUUGCUUUUUAAAAUACUAAUUGCAUUUAGUAUUGCACGACACUCUGAGUUAGCAUUAUUAUUUUGGGUGAUAUGGAAUUGCAUGUCAAACAAAAAACACAUUGAAGCUCAAUCCUGUCGUCCGCCAUUAGCAAUGUGAUAAAGACAGAUACUUAAAACACCGCCGCUGAUCCCCAAAAUGUCUGAACCAAUCAUGACGUGGCUCUUCACGUGAUUAUGUCUCGUCAACCAAUCAGUGCUAUCAAUCUAGCCCCACUAAGUUAAUCUUAAGUUUCUUUAUUGUGUUUGACUUUUUCUUAUUCUGACACGUUGGCCGGAAAACCGGGGUUGACGCGCAUUCAAAUCAGGGGCAGUGAGGAGAUAGUAGCGUGCUGUGGUCGUUGUAGCGUAGGCUUGUAUAGUUAGCUGCAAGGCUUUUUUGUAGCCAUCUUUAUUGUGUUUAUUUAUACAUUAAGCAAAGUGCAAUGCAAGAUUUUUUGUUACAGUUUUAUUCGUUUUGUGCUUUUCAAAAUUCGUUUUUUUUUGUCUUGAUUUGAACGUUUAUUGAGAUUAUAAUUCUGGUCUACUGCAAUACUACUUGUAUUUCCUAACCUACGAAGUGUGACUCGCCGGAAUAAUUUAAUUCAUUUGAAGUACAAUUCCUGCUGUGAAAUCGAAGGAGAUCGUGAAAUCCACGUGCAUUUGUAAGUAUUGAUGGAGAUUUUAGAAACCUUCGCUUUUGUAAAGUGGCGCUCAGCGUGGCUUCAAAGUGGUUAAUGUGUGUAUCAAGGUUAUUAAAAGAUUGGGCGAAGCAAGUUUAAAUUUUGAUUUGAGCGGUGAUUUCGCCGAUUAAUAUUGCCCGCCAUAUCUCUUUUCCAAGCAACCAACGCGAGAGUGAUAAAGAAUAAGAUGGUCGACGUAAGCUUUUGAUGUUUUGUGCCAAGUUUAUUGUUUCGGCAAGUUAAUCCCCGUUCUCUUCAAGCAGCCAAAGAAGUUUAUCGUGAAUAUAAAAUGUAUUAUUUCAUCGUUGGAUGGCAGCAAUGGAUGUGCCAAGUCAUUGAUGUUGAAAGAAAUUGAUCAAUUUUUCUAACUCCUGUACAGGCUCCCUCUCACUGCAGAGACCACAUAAAGAAAAAAUGAGCCACAAGCAAAAAAACUAAACAAUUUCUAGGUCGCUCCAGUCCGAGACGAAGCGUGUGAUUUGGGGUUUCCAGAAGAUGAAUUUCAAAAUUUCUUCGCGAUAGAUCGAUGUUUACCAACUCUUGAAGAGGAGUUCGCACAAAGUGUUGUUCUUGGUCUUCGACUAAUUCGUAUCAAUUAUUUUGUAAUAUUUAUUGGACACUAAGCAAAUCUAUGGAUCGUUUUUAUGUUAUAUCAGCGGUUAUCCAACCGCGGCCCGCGGGACGGUACAAAUCUUAAUCAUUGGGAUUGGAUGGAAAGUAUUCUUUAGGCCCCGUUCUGCAACUUUGGGCACCAAUUAAGCUCUAAUUUUUUUAAUUACUGUAAAUCUGUGGGCUCUGUUUUGAUUUGUGGUUGUGUGACGUCAUCAAAUUUCUGGGGGAUUCGUUAGUGUCUUGACGUCAGUCAAAUUUAUCAUUUACCGUCCGUGGGUUGUAAGGGUUGGUUUAUGCCAUCUAAGUUACUGUAUCUGUGGUCUAUGGGAUUCGCUUGUGUGGUGAUAAAUUAACCUUUGGUGUCCAUAUUUUUUGCAUUGCCCCCUCUAUCUCCCUAAAAUGAAUGAACUUUGAAUAAAUUUCGGUACUACAUUAUUAUUAUACGAACUCCCAAAAUUGUUUUGACACCCUGGAAGUAUAGUUUCGGUCAUGCCAGAUCUUUGCGUAAUAUCAACUUGAUAUGCCCGAGUUUAUUGCCUUUUUAAUAGUUUUUAUUCGUCGUUUUUGUCGAGCCAUAUCAAUUACUGAACUAGUACUAUUUUAUGUAGCUGUAAUGUAUUUUUGAAUUGUUAAUAAAAAUCUGGCAA